GACGUCACUUCCUCUUUCACCAGCGCGUUCAUGGUUGUUUUAUUGCGGAAGGUGAACUGAUGUCACGUGGAUGUUGUUGAACUGUUCAGUUCCAUUCUGUGCAGGUCAGAUCAGCAUAAAGUCGCCGAACCGAGAAACUUUCACACCGUUGUGUAGUUUGUUUUUUUCACAUAACCUGCCAUUGGUCAGUGGGAGGUUACCACGGCGACAGAGAGCGGACACGAGACCAGCAGACCGUGAGGUAACGAAGCUAAUCUUGGGCUUAUCCAAUGAAAUCCCUCAGUCCUCCUUGGCCCCGCCCCUUUCCACCAAGGUUAUAAAUGGCGCCAUUUCAGUGAGCGGAUAUGGAACCAGAAAAACUUCAACAACUAAAUCUAAAAUUUUGACCUCUACUUCUGGUUGGAAUCAAGAAGAAGAAAGAUGGACUGAAAGCUUCACCUUUGACCUUCAUCACUGCAGAUCAAUGUGGGCGGGACCAGCUGUUCAUCAUCUGAAGCUGCAGGAACUCCAAACACACAACUUCCUGUCUGUGUCUGUCAGGCUGACUGACAGUGAAUGAAGAGGACUGUAGAGUUUGUACUGACUAACAGAGAGCGCGCCGUGAGCAGAAACUUAAGGAGGCGCUGCAGUGAGAGGCCUCUUGUAUCGCCACAUCAGAGCUUAUCUGUCAGGCAUCCUGCCAGGACAGCUGCACCUGUUUGGAGGACCCGCGGCCGCGGCUACGAGGCGCCUCAGUGGAGCGAGCCGCGAGCGAAUACUUCUUCCCAACCUGAAGGUUGAAGCACAAAGAGGCCAGAUGGUACAACAGCUACGUUACGAUCACAAAGGCAAUCUCUUCAGCAGCCAGCCAGCAAGCUCCCUGCGACCCGCUGGACGAACGAACUCCACACGGAGGGAAAACCCCUCAAAAGGCUCUGAAGGGGUUCUGCUGAAGACCGGCUGCAGCUUUGUUGGCUUGCUUGAGCAGCGUUGACUCUGGGGAGGCGGCGGCGCGGUGAGAACCAGGACGGGUGACUGAUGGGUCCAGGAUGGGGAACAGGCAGCUGGAGUGGAUAAAACUCCUGAGGACGAAGCAAACGGCUCCGUCACACAACAGCAUGAAGACCAGGAACAGACGGUGAAAUUUCAUCCAGCCGUUUCUCUUUCAGACGGAGCGUCGCUGACAAACCUGCAGGUAAAACAUCUGAACCCAUAAAGGUAAAACAUCCAGCUAAUGAAACGACCAGAGCUGCCAUAUGGAGCUUUACCUUUAAUUUUCUCCUUGUUAAUUUAUCCUGUUGUCUUUGUAAACGGUUGGUUCAGUUUUAGCCUGUUUGUAAAAUGCUACAUAAAUAAACUUUACAUUGACAUUUAUGUUCUGUUGCUUUCCGAUUCAGUUCAGUAUCUUUUCCACAAGUUCUUCAUCACCACAAAUCUGCGCUUCUUGCUUCACUGCACAAAUCCUUCACUGAAGCAAAUUACAGUAAUUAUGACUUUUUUCCACAGAUUUAAUGAUUAUGUGUUGAAGGCAGAGAAUCAGUGGAAAUUUAAAAUCUAUCAGACCAAAAACUGCUGUGGAAAAAAAUCUUUCUCUUCUUAGAUUUCUUGUUUUUACUUAAACUUGAAUGUUUCAGAUUAUUAAAUUCUAACAGAUAACCUGAGAAACUGAAAGCAGAUUUUUGUUUCUCUUUGCAGUUGUUCUGUGUGCUUUUAUUCUGAAGUUUGUGUUUGUGAAGCUGACAGAUUUGUGGGCAGAUAUUUGAUCAUGUUUUCAGUUUAGUUGAUGUUUGAGCUGCUGCUGAUGCAGAAAUCAGGUUUUUCUGUUACAGGCUCUUUACUCUGACCUUUGACCUCUCUGACUUAUCGCUCUGUCAGGAUUUUACUACCAGGCGUUUUGUCCUGUAUGUCUUCUCUUUAAAUAAACAACGCAUCAUAUUUUGAAUUGCAAAUUUAAAGAAAAUUGCAGCGCUGUCAUCUCAGAAGAUGAAUAAUUUGAUGUUGUGGAGGGGAGGAUGAUUUUUAAUUUGUAAACAUAAGUUUUAACGGUACGGACCCGGACCCGGACCGUUAAAUGAGGCUCUUCACUUCCUGUUAUAAAGUCCAGGAUCAACUCCUGCUCAGCAAAAACACAGAAUGAACAUUUAAAUGUCGUCCUUCUAAAGUCGUUGACAUUUUACAAACUUGAGAUUAGUCAUAUUCAUAACCAAGUCGGUUUAAUUUGUGUAGUGCCAAAUGAUUUUUACUAAAUGCAUGAAAGUUUUUAUUUUAGCCACUAAUCUGUGAGAUCAAGCAUCUCUGGAGCAGAUCUGUUACCGUUAGAUAACAGCUGCAACAAUCUACAUUUUUAUUUCAAAGAAAUUCUGAACAGAUAAAAGAUAUUGGAGCCAGAUCUAAAGAAACCAGAACAUCUGAAGUUCUGCAGGCCUCAUAAGGUCAGAGGUCAUGAUCCAACAUAAAAAAAAGAGUUUCAGGGUCAGAACCUCAACUGACC